CAAAGUACAGAACCUUCUUCUUGAGCAGAAAGUUCUUUUCGAUCAAGAACACGAGGGCGUUGGUUAGCCAUUCGGUGAAGAGACGGCCGCAGAAGAUCACCAUCACCAUCAAGCUCCAUCUCCAGAGACCUCCUCGUCGUCCCCGCCCACACUAUUGUCACCUCCCGUUAACGGCGUCUUUGGAGUCUGUUUUGGCGAUGCGACGGGAGGUGCAGGUUGUGGCUCGAUUGGCUUGGAUUUGAAUGGAUAUGGCGGCUCGGCUAUCCUGGACUUGGGCUUGGCAUAAGCUGAGGUUCUUCUUCUGAUGGGUUGGGGAGGCAUUGGUGAAGGCUGUUGAAUUUGAGGUGAGGAAGAUGGUGAUGGAGAUGGAGAUGGAGGUUUAAUUGAAGUUUGAGGGUGUGUCUGUGUAGUGGUGGAAAGUAGAGCUAGUUGGAGCAUGGACAGCUCCGCCAUUGAAGGGUUAUGGUGAUGGUCCUGGACCUUGAGGGGUGGUGGUUCAGAUUUGCCAUUGCCAAUAUUAUCUUGGGAAUAAUGGAUUUUGUCGGGCUGAAUCUCCACUACAAAGGUUUCGUUUUCUGAUGAUUUCUCCCCUCCUUCCAUUGAAGAUGAGGAAUGAAAAUGAUGAGGUGAAGUUAGUUAAUUCAGCCUGCUUAUAGUUAGCAUUGAAAUUUCAAUGUUGAGGAGGUGACUCCAAAGUCCACACGACAUGGCAUCAUUUGUGGGCGAACACGACAGUUGCAAACUAUGGUAGUCGGGAAAGAUGUUCGAGCAAAUUUUUGAUUAAAUCUAAUAGUCUGCAAACUAUUGAAGUGAUAUUGCACUUAUCCUAAACAAGAUUUGUGUGGCAAAUAAAAUAAAAAAAUUUCAAAAUCAUGAUCUAAUACAUUGAAAGGGUCACAAGUUUACUCUUGACACCGUACCAUCUCUUACGGGACAAAUGGUGAUUAUUUUAGGAAAGGGGAUAGAGUUCA